CAUAAAGUUGCAGCUGGGAGUGGAAUAAAUGUGCUUGUUGGCACUGGUGGGAAGAAUAAUUGCCAAGGAGAUGAAUUUCAAUAUGAAUCAUGUUUAAAAAGAAAAAAAAAUAACUUGGCCGACUUGAAUGAGCCUAUUCUGGUUGAGGGUACAAAUGAAUCUGCAAAUAAUCGUCUAGGCUUUACUUCCUUCCAUUGUGAGAUUCA
rnacentral:misc_RNA from 1 species